rnacentral:rRNA from 1 species
GAUUAACGCUGGCGGCGUGCCUAACACAUGCAAGUCGAGCGGCAGCGCGUUUUACACUGAAUUCUGGAAGCUUCUAGUUGAAAGAGAAGAUUUAUUCAAGAAUUUUGUGUAAAAUGUCGGCGAGCGGCGGACGGCUGAGUAACGCGUGGGAACGUACCCCAAAGUGAGGGAUAACGCAUCGAAAGGUGUGCUAAUACCGCAUAUGGUCUUCGGAUUAAAGCCUUCGGGCGCUUUGGGAACGGCCUGCGUAAGAUUAGAUAGUUGGUGGGGUAAUGGCCUACCAAGUCGACGAUCUUUAACUGGUUUGAGAGGAUGAUCAGUCAGACUGGAACUGAGACACGGUCCAGACUCCUACGGGAAGCAGCAGUGAGGAAUCUUCCACAAUGGGCGAAAGCCUGAUGGAGCAACGCCGCGUGCAGGAUGAAGGCCUUCGGGUUGUAAACUGCUUUUAUAAGUGAGGAUUAUGACAGUAACUUAUGAAUAAGGAUCGGCUAACUACGUG